CGUUUCAAACAACAACAACAACAACAACAACAACAAAACACAGAGAGAUUUGGGUUGGUGGCUCAAUGUAGAAUGCCCUUUUCUACGGAUCACUAUAUUCCAUGUUGGACUUCUGGUUGGCUUGUUUAGUUUUUUCUUUGGAAUUCAGUGCUACCACACAGACGUGUGCAAACACACCCACACACACACCAUUAAACAAACAAAGGCCAGUGGGUCUCUUGGCUAAGGAUUCUAUGGUGCAUAUGCAAGAAAUGCUACUGAUAAGGAAUGUUAUAUCAAGUUUCUCAAGAGUGGAUAAAGCUGACCAAUCUAGCUGCUAUACUUGGAGAGGAUAAUAUGGAUGGUGUAAAUUAGAAUUGUAUAUAAGCAAUAAGUUAGAAUAUGGACAGUCUUUUUUUUCCCCCUUUUUUUUUUUUUUAAAGAAAAUGGACAUUCUUUCAUGAUUCAUCAAAAGAAUCAUUGGAGAAACUGAUUUAUCAUGUGACCUCAAGUGUUUCUUGGAAACCUUUUGGAGGAAAAAGAAAUUAAACAUGCUGAACUGGCUGAAAAAAAUAUAGAAGAAGCACUUUCAGAUCAUAUUAAAUAUAUACAAACUGGAAAGAAUCUAUGCACACAGAAAACACCCAAUUUGAAGUGACUUUUAAAGUCUUCAGCAGAGUUAGCGGCAUGACAACAGAAAGAAAUGAAAGUCUGGACAAUGUUUGCUCCACUUAAUAUGGAGAAAAAAAAUGUCCCAAAAUAGAUGAUGAUCUGAGCCAUGCACAUGAAAGUUGCAUUUCUACAGAAAAUGGGCCAAACGUCUUACAGAAAAUCCUGAAAGUGCUAUUUGUUCUUCACAAUGCCAGAUGAGUUCCCAUGAGGAAAAAUUAUGAUAACUGGAGGUCAUCGAAUCUGCUUGCUGAGAAAAACUUAGUUACAUAAGAAAAUAAAAUGAGCCAGGCAUUGUGGCUCAUGCCUUUAAUCCCAGCACUUGGGGAGGCCAAGGUGGGAGGAUUGCUUGAAGCCGGAGUUCAGAACCAUCCUGGCCAACAUAGUGAGACCUCAUCUCUAUUUUUUAAAAAAUUAAAAAUUUGUUGUAUGCAUUUUAUAUUUAUUUUAUAUUUUAUAUAUAAAGGAACAUAAAAUGCAUACAACCAACAAAGUAUAUUGAAGCCAAGAUCACAUGCAGCUUUUGGGAAGAGGAUCCACAUGCUCCUGUUCUAACAGGGCCACUUUGGAAAGGCCCAGGACAAUAUGUUUCCCUGGAAUAUCAGAUCACUAAGGAAGGUUAAGCUAGGUGGGCUCAGAAAUCUAGAAUCCAUAGUUGUCCUGUGAGGACCUGAAGAAACUUAGGAUAAAAGACAAAUGAUUUCCCUAGAACGAUUCCAUUCUGAUCCAGAUCUUGCUCCAAAAAGCCUUUUGACUUUGAUAGACUUGCUGAAUCUGAAGACUUCAGAAGUUUCAGUACACCUUAAAUGGAAAUAAAGUCCGAUAGAAAUACUACAAAGAUGUACCUGAUGAGAACAAGUGACUUGUCUCCCCCACCUGAAAGUGGAAUGGCUGGCUCAAGCAUAGUUCUGCCAUCUCACAGUCAGAGUCCCAAACAUUCUCAUGAACUCCAGGGGCAUUUCAUGUUCCAAAGACUUCUGUUUGCUCGCCCUUCUUUGGAGAGUAUAUAUGGAUGUUCCCCAAGUGCUUGUUCUCCUAAGUGAUUUCCAGGACCUAACACACUCUCCAUUUACAAUGCCAAGUUAUUCUCUCCUAAUUGCUGUAUUCCUCCCCUCCCAUUUGAAAACCCUGAAGGUAGAUGUGACCCGCACUUAGGGUUAGCUGAGCUUUCAAAUAAAACUCAAUCCAAAGAUCCAAAA
rnacentral:lncRNA from 1 species